CGUUAGCGGCGGACGGGUGAGUAACACGUAGGUAACCUACCUAUAAGACUGGGAUAACUUCGGGAAACCGGAGCUAAUACCGGAUAAUAUUUCGAACCGCAUGGUUCAAUAGUGAAAGACGGUUUUGCUGUCACUUAUAGAUGGAUCCGCGCCGCAUUAGCUAGUUGGUAAGGUAACGGCUUACCAAGGCAACGAUGCGUAGCCGACCUGAGAGGGUGAUCGGCCACACUGGAACUGAGACACGGUCCAG
rnacentral:rRNA from 1 species